CCUGCAAAACGAAUCUAAGUUCCCCCUUAACCCUCUUUUUCCUCCCCAGACAAACCCAACCCAAAUGUGAUAGUUAAGGGCUAUUUAAAGGGGGUACAGCCCCUUUAAAAAAGGACACAACCUCCACCAGCGGAUAACCCCUGUACGCCCAGCCCCGUGGGCCUUAAAGCAGCCACCCCCAAAGAUUGCGUCAAAGCUCCAUCAACCAAAAACCCCCAAAACCAAUGCGACUCCCUACACCCACAGCAGGCCAACCUAUAACAAUAGAUGAAUCAAUGCUAGAACGAGUAACCAGGACACUAUGUCCCCCCAAGCGCCAGCCUGUAUACCAUUAACAGUAAAACCUCAAUAAUAACCAUCCCCACCAUUGAACCCACCCUGUCAACCCAACUCAGGGGCGCACACUGGAGUGAUCAAAAUCUACAAAAGGAACUCGGCAAACCUAAGACCCGACUGUUUACCAAAAACAUAGCCUUCAGCCAAACAAGUAUUGAAGGUGAUGCCUGCCCAGUGACACUAUGUUUAACGGCCGCGGUA
rnacentral:rRNA from 1 species